UACGAAGGGGGCGAGCGUUGUUCGGAAUCACUGGGCGUAAAGGGCGCGUAGGCGGCCCUCUUAGUCGCGUGUGAAAGCCCCGGGCUCAACCUGGGAACGGCGCGCGAAACGGGAGGGCUGGAGUUCGGGAGAGGAGAGUGGAAUUCCCAGUGUAGAGGUGAAAUUCGUAGGAUAUCAGGAGGAACACCGAUGGCGAAGGCAGGUCUCUGGGCCACUACUGACGCUGAGAAGCGAAAACAUGGGAGCGGAACAGG
rnacentral:rRNA from 1 species